UACGACUCUGGUUUCUCCAUUACGCACAAGCCUUUCGCCUUACUAAAAGACUUCCGUGGAGAGUGCAGAAGACGACGAGUUCAACGUAUUUUUGGAAGGGUUUGUAUUUUCU